rnacentral:misc_RNA from 1 species
AACGGUCUAUACCUGCGGUACCUGCGGAGGGAUCAUUAACAAAUUCACAACAUUCGUGUUGUUGGAUUGAUUCUACUACAUCGUUCUCUCCUUCGCUCGCUCCUGCGUGUAUAUAUAUAUAUAUAUACGUGGACAGUGAUGAGAGGGGAGGGGGUUCUAGGGGGUCAAUCCAGCGAUUACAACACAUCUCAUACAUACACUUUAUGAUCUGACAAGCAAUGGGAAAUCCAAACAAACUUU